CCUACGGGAGGCAGCAGUGGGGAAUAUUGGUCAAUGGGCGCAAGCCUGACCCAGCAACGUCGCGUGAAGGAAGAAGGCUCUCGGGUUGUAAACUUCUUUUCUCAGGGACGAAGAAAGUGACGGUACCUGAGGAAUAAGCCACGGCUAACUACGUGCCAGCAGCCGCGGUAAUACGUAGGUGGCAAGCGUUAUCCGGAUUUACUGGGUGUAAAGGGCGUGUAGGCGGGACUGCAAGUCAGAUGUGAAAACUACGGGCUCAACCGGUGGCCUGCAUUUGAAACUGUAGUUCUUGAGUACUGGAGAGGCAGACGGAAUGCGUGGUGUAGCGGUGAAAUGCGUAGAUAUUAGGAGGAACACCGGUGGCGAAGGCAGUCUGCUGGACAGCAACUGACGCUGAGGCGCGAAAGCGUGGGGAGCAAACAGGAUUAGAUACCCCUGUAGUC
rnacentral:rRNA from 1 species